UAUGGCUACUCACUCAGCACAGUGCAGGCCAAGAAGCCACCUUGAGUCACUAGGAAAGAAGAGAUUACACUGAAAAAGCAACCAGCUUACCUCUGAAAUGGGGGUAUAAUAAAUCAGGGAAAAAACCCAAAAAACCAAAACCAACCAACCAAACAAACAAAACACAAAAAACCCCACAGUGAUUAGCUUUUAGGAAGAAAUAGUUUCUGUUUUGUUUUUCCAAGAAUAGAAAAGUCAAGUCUCUGACAAUUAAAGACUUCAUUUUUUGUCUAAAGAAAAAUAUUUCCUGCUCUCCUGCAGUCUUUUCCACAUCACUCUAGCCAGAAACUUUGCUGUCUCUGAGCAGUAAUCAUUUACCUGAAAAAUACCCUAUAAUAUUUCUCUUUGUGGAGGUUGGUAGUACAGAUGCUGACUUUGAAGCGUGAUGUACGACUCCAAGUGGCAUGAAAAGAAAUUGAUGAGACAAUUAGAACUUAUGAGAAUGAUGCUUGCAUUAAUAUGUUGGGGAGAAUCACCUAGAAUAAAGUAUUUCAAACUCCACAGAAACCUUAGAAUUUAUUUGGCAUCUCAAGUAGCUCCCUGAGUUGUUAUUGCACAAAGCACAAUACAAACAUACAUAAAAUCCUGACCUAGACUUCAGCCACUGACUAAUCUCCCUUUGACUUCAUGGGGCCAGGAUUCCAGCUGACUUCUACUCCAGGGAGUUACACAGAAACACACACAGAUCCUGAGCAUCUAGUAUGACUUCUCUUUUAUAUUGUUGUCACUGUGGUCUAGGAUGCUGAAGAUAUUUAGUUAUCUCCCUUCUAGCCUAUAUGCCAGGGUAGCCCAGGGAACACCUGAACCUGGUGAGUACUCAGAGGAUAAGUGUGUGCCUGACUGCUACACAGGGGGAUCUUGUUCCUUGUGUGGUGUCUUUCUAGUCCACGAGAUUCCAUGUGAGGUGGAACAGCUAUGGCAAGAGGGCAUGAAUAUUUGACCUCAAUAUGAAGUGUCUUAAUGCAUUCCUUAACACUUGUGGCAUUUCUUUCCAUUCCAAAGCAUAUAAUUUUUGAAUAACUGCCCGUCCUUUACAUGGCCUCUUCUUUUACCCUCUGUCAGUCUGCUCCCUGUAAAGCAAUAAAAGCCUUUGCACAGCAGGAGAUUUUUAUGUCCACUUUGUGACUGAGCAGCAAGUAAAGCUGGGAGGAGAAGAGGACAGCUCAGUCAGCCUUGGUAAUCAGCUCUGGCUUGGAACCUGGAAAACCCAUUUGAGCACACAUUUGCUCCUGUGUUUUUGCUUUGCAACCACUGCACUGGUUAGCAUUUGAGAUUUCUGACUAGAAAUAUUGUUCCUUUUGCAGAUAGAAGUGUUUGGCUUUAUUAUUUCUAGCUGGUGCUACUGAUGCACUUGGAAUUAAAUAGGGAGGAGAUCAUUCCUUUAUGGCUAUUUCCUUAUGAACUGACUGAUGGUCCAGAUCAUGUCACAUAUAAGUAUUUCAGUACCUUCCUUUUUAGAGAUGUUAUAUCUUUCUAAAGCCCUUCUUCCCUUAUGACAACUACUUUUUUACUUUUGAGAAUUAUAUUUUUAAUAAUACAAAUAUCUUAAAUAUAUUGUCUUUUAGCAGAAUACUUUGACAUCAACAGCUACACAGGUCUCAUUUUGCAAACCACAGCUUACUCUGUACCUGUAGAAGAACUGGGCUUGAGGCAGGUGCAUUGCACCUACAAAUUUCUCCCUGCAAAACCAGAUUUUUAGUUGUUAUUUUUUACCCUUUCUGAUAUUAAAAUUUGUACUCAGUAUUAUUGGUAUUUUGACACUGCAGGAACAUCUGAUAACAUGAGUCAUGGACCAGCCUCAUUGUUGUAUUGUUAGCUGCUUUGCUUAUCUCUUUUCCUUCUUCAGUAGAGUGCAAGCAUAGCUGUGAGAAGGGGGUCGUAUAAUUUUUGUUCCAUACCUUGAGAGCUUUUGUAAUAUGAAUGUUUAGAUCUAGAAUUAUAAUUGUGUGGGAUGCUGUAUGCACAAGCAGAAUGACAGCCCUUGCCAGGUAGUUUACAACGAUGUAUUGAGAAUUCUUUAAAGUGAACGUGGACAUGGAAGAUGCACCUAUCUCUGAAAGAUAGGUAUAAUUAGAUUGACAACUUGGAUGUCAGGCUUCUUGUUGAUGUAAUUUAAAAUAGUUGUUGCCACUCCCUCCCUCCCUCUAUUCCCUGAAAUGUGUCUUAUACUGGAAAUGCUGACAAGACCCUCAUCAUUUGCGAUGGCACCGUGCACAGCUUUAAAUACUGGUUAUAAAUGUUAAUGUGUUAUCUGAAUGAUAUUUUUUCCAUAUGUAGGCAGCUCACAAUAGAGUUUCAGUAAUAAAUUUAACGAGUUCAGGGGGAAGAUGCAGUAUAUGCUUCUGUGAGUAUUAUAAUGAUUGGCAUUUUUGCAAACAGCAUAUGAUAAGUGGCGCAAUUUUAUUUUCAAAGUUUAAUCAAUAGAGAGCUCUUUGAUAUUGCCAUGUACUUUUCAAAUAGAUGCUUCCUAAGAAUGACAGCAAAACAAUUUCUCUAUCAUGGUGUGUAUAUGCUUGGAGUUUAAUCAAUCUGCUUUAGUGAUUGUCAUAUAUUUUGAUAUUCCAAAAAAUAAAUAGAAGCUAUAAAAUAAUUAUGCUCUGGGGUGUCAUCCUGUUGCUGCUUGCCUGGGUCAUCUGACUUCACAAAUAUUUAAAAGGAUGCACAGUCCAUCACUGUGCCAGUUACAAGAGCAUGGGCCGUGUAGCAUUUUAUUCCUAUUUAUUGUAAACCCACACCAUCUAUUGCACAGGAAAUUGAGGUGGAUCUUCAAGGGCUUAAGAAGGACUUUAUGAAUGCCUUGUGUUAAACUUUUGGAAGUGAAUUUGCUCUCUAUUAAGAGGAGCCAGAAAUUACCACCUCACUACACAGCAGCCUCCCCUGUAAUUUUGAUCCCUGUGGGGUCAUCAGAAGUGGCUGAAGCUCCUUCUGUGUGAGCCAGAACAUCCACCUAGCCCAAAUCCCCUGGGGUGGUCCCUUCAGUGGUCCCAGCACCAAUAUAGGUGCUCUUCUGAGAGUCUGAGAGGAGCAGUACACCCCUGACCUUUCUCUGGGAUGUUUCAAGCCAGUAGAGAGGACUUUGGGGAGAUGCCCAAUGCUCUGGGUGAGCUUUGUUCUUGCUGAGCAGAGCCCAAUUGCCUGUGUCUCUUUUGUUCUUGGAAACAACAGUAGCAGCUGAAAGCUGAACUUUGGAAGAUCAUUUCACAAGCAUUUGAAGGCUGGCCGUGUCCACACAGAGCUGUGGUACCAGCCCAGCUUGUCCUCCCUAUUGCAGGAGCCUGCAGAAAUUCAUGCUGGCCCCACAAAACCAGUCCCAGGAAAGCCUGCCUGGAACAGACGGUGUCAAUAAUUUAUUGGAUGUGGCAGCAGAAGGACACACACGAUGAGCUUGGAGAUAACCUUUGGCAGGGAACUCUCUCUGUCACUUCCACUCUUUCUGAUAAAAAAAUAUAGUAACUGGUAGGCAUUUGGGAAACAGGGAAGCUGGAGCAUUUCAGGUGAUUUGACCUGAAUGUAGCAGAGUGCCAUGAGCACUGAUGCAGAACCUCCAGAGAUGUCAGCAGAUCUGUGCCAGGCACCACUGCAGGGUAUGACCCGGUCGGCAUCAGGAUGGAUCCUCAUCUCAGCACAGGAAUUCCUCCAGAGCCAUGAGGGAUUUGGGCAGGCUGACAUCAGUGUAAGACCAGGGUAUAAGUGUGCUGUGCAUACUAGAUGAGUUGUUGUAGACACUCGUGAAAAAAAAAAGAUCAUUGAAAAUUUAUUUAUUUUUAGCACUUUUUACUUGCAGCAAGAAGAUCCCAUUGCAAUAUCCAGAUAUUACAGCCUCAGCUGUAGUUCCACUUACUUUCAUACAAAGAUUCAAGAGGAUGACCUAAAGAGAGCAAAGGAUUUUUACUCUUUUUCUUUUUAUAAUUUUGUUUUGUAAUAUACAUGUGUGUGUGUGUGAGCUCUGUAUGGGUAAAUAUAUACAUGUAAGUAUGGACAUCUGUUUGUUUAAAUAACAUGUGUUUUCCCUUGCUGUCCCUGACCAACACCAAUUGCUGUGCUGCCUUUGUAAGUAUGCUGCAAUGGCCAAUUCUUUUGAAUUCUUUGUGCUAUCUUUGCUUAUGCUGAAUAGCAGCUGACACUUUAAUUGGGAUGACUGAGCUGAGUGCAUUCGCCUUUGGAAUUGGACACUUUUCAGUGUGAAGAGAGGGUACCACAGACUGACUUUUCUGUCUUUAUCCUCAACCAAAGCUCCAUUAAAUCAGACCUACAGUUUGUAGCAAGGGACAAUCUCCGUUGCAUUGAAACACAUGGGAAAGGCUGGAGACUCAGUUUUGAAGGUUAAUUAGAUCCUGAAAAGAAGAAUUAACUGAAUUUGUUUUCUGUAUUUUUUCCCCCUAUUUUUAAGAAUCUUUUUAAUUACUUUCAUCUCUGCUGGUGAUGACCACUUUUCUCUUCAUAGGAAAAAUAUCAUGUACUUUUGAGUUUAUUAAAAACCUUUUUGAUAGACAGAUUCUAAUUCUCAUUUUAGACAAAAAUAAGCAUAGUGCUGGCACAUUGUGUUAAAAUUUAGGCAUCAGAACUUACUCUAUAUUAAUAUGAGCUAAUCUUUAUUUUUAUUUAACUGAGUGCUAACAUUAUUCAGACUUAGGUACUAAAUGGAAUUUAUGUUUUUUUUUCAGUUGGAUACAUUAUCUUUGGAAAAUGAAGGAAGGAAUAGUUUAGGACAUGACCAUUCAAAAACUCUUUGGUGGGGGUGGAAGUUUAAGCAACCAGUUCUUUUUUUCAGGUUCCUGUUAUGCAGCUGCUGUUGACCCUACUAUUGAUUCAGAAAGGUAAAUAUUCUCCUUUUCAACUCUCUCUGGAAGAUUGUCUUUGGCUGCAUGAAAACAUGCUUCUUGUAUUGUUAUGGUAACAAUAGUUAAGUGACCUGUUCAUGUGCCAGCAGAAAAAUCACUUCUGUGCCCCUAAAGAGGGCUCUCAAAACCUAAGAGUUCCAGCAAAGACAGUCUCCUUGUGGAAGACCAUGAAAGGUUUGAGCUCUAGGUUUUAGAUCUGUUGUACUGAAUGUAAAAGGCCUAGAAAAAGCAAGACUGGACAGAGACUGACAAGAUAGACUUCUAAUCAGUCAUGUUACAAAUAAAAAAAAGUAUUCAAAGUGGAAGAAGCACGGAGGAGGGACUGCUGCGGGAAUGCAAAAGAAAAAUGGGGUAAACUGAAUUUUUAGAGUGUGGUUUGGGGAACUGGAAGCCACGACCAUGUAAAACAGUGCUGAAACUAAUUGUCCUGGUAUGAUGCUGAGGUGAGGUGAUAUCUCAUGGUGUUUAUGAACGAGUGCAUGUGCAGUUUGCUUUGUUUCUUGGAGUGGAUUGAGGCUCUCUGCAGCUUAUGGCAGAAGGGCAGCCCCAGCUUGUUCUCUUUUUUCUGUAUAUUGGUUAUUGAAAAGCAAGAGAUACCAACACUUCUGUAGCUCUGCCCCUCUGUCCCUAGAGGCAGUGUGAGCCAGUCUUCUGCUAUGAUUAAGACCCAUGCACUCUCCUGUUGCAGACCCCUGAAGCCAGUGUGGUGAUUCCCAACUGGGCCAAGGCAAGCAAGCAGGAGCUACUGUAAGAACACCUGUCCCUGCGUUUCUCUUGGUGUUCUAGUGGUCUGUUUAUAUGAUCACACAUUGGUUUCAGCGCUAAUGACCUGCUUGAGGUGCUGAAGGAAUACAGUCACACAGUCAGUCAGGCUUAGCUUCAGAAAUUAUUGGGACCAUUACUAGAUCUUGGAGUUUUACUUUUCCAUUCUGGCUGUGUUUCAUUCACACUUAGGCAUUUCACACCUGCUGUCAUGGAAGAGUUCUUCAACACAGCCCCAUUUCACACAUCCUCAGGCAUCCAGGAACAUCUGGAAAGUGACUGAUUUCAUCUGGCUUACAGCACAUUCUCAAGUCUUGGCAUUCUUGCUUUCAUGGCAUUGGGGUUUUGCAAUGUAAAAUCAAACAGGCAUCAGUUGAUAUACGCAGAUACAAACAGAUUAACUGGAGGUACAAAGCAGGGAGGUGAAGGGGUUCACAAUUAACUAGUGUUGUCUAAUGGAAGCUGUGUCAUGGAUUCCCCCUGUGGCUUUGAAACUGCUGGCAAAACAAAGUCCAGGCUUAUUUGACACUGAACCCAGUACUACUGCUGGUAUCUGUGCAGUGCCAAGGAACCUUGACUAUGGCUCAGAAGCCCCUUGCUCUGGAUAAUGGAAAACACAGAACAAGAUGGUCACUGCCCCAAUUGUAACUGUUGUGUGAAACAGAGAUUCCUUGAUGCCAUCAGUCUCUAAACAGCCUACAGAGAGCACAAAACCAAUCUCCUUUGAAAGAUAGACUUGGUUUUGCUGAUGUUAGAAAACAAGUUGUUUGGAUUCCAUACAAGGGAGCAUCUGAUGAUAAGUUGCUUUUAUACAGAGCAAGUCAAGAUGCUUUAUGUAAUUGCUUAGCGUCAGAACAAAGCUGUAUUAACAGAGCUUAGCAAGUUAGGGACCCAAAGACAUCCUUUUUUGGCACCUCCUGAAAGUAGUAUAUUACUUUGCUCACAGGCAAAGUGCUGUCUGAGCAGAGGAGCUGAUGUAGGCAGACAAAUACCAUGGCCAGGUUCAUCUAAUGUUUGUUGAGGUCAAACCUCCUGGAAGGCAGUGCAACAGAGGUGCUCUGUCCUGAGCUUCUGAGGCUGUCGCCUGCUAAUUGGAUAGACUGUCUCUGCCUUAGUACUGAUCAGAGUUAAUGCCCAAGAUCAAAAGAUAGCUCAAUGAAGAUAAAUUUGCAGCAUGAGAGAAUUCAUCAUGUAUUUAAAGUUACUGAAAUGUGCAAUAACCAAAGCACUGAUAUCAUGGAGGUGUGCAUAAGAAUGUAGCGAGGCAAGAUCCCGAGGCACUCACUGAAUCUGAAGAGUUUACCAUGGAGUUUAAAGAAUAUUAAGGGUCCUAAUUUGUGUUUGAAGUUAUAGACUCCUCCCAAUAUUAAAAUAUAUUAAAAAUCCUCCCUCAGAUUCUCUAGGAAUGGUCCCACAUUUCUAGAAUAUACCACAGGACUUUCUGUUUGCUGUCUGAUCUUUCUACCACUAUAUGAGUAUGUAAAACUGAGGCAAAACUGGCUCCCACUGCCAUAAGUCUGUGAUAUAGGGGACUCUGACUGCAACAAAGACAGAGAAAUUCCUGCCACACAGAUGUAAGAAUGAGGAAGCACUGUGUUGGAGAUACUAUUCUUUCCCAUUAAGCUUCAGCCUUGUCUUUCAUCACCAAUGGAAAUUUAUUGUCUUACAGCUGAGUACCACUUACCUCUAUCCUGAAGGGCCUCAAUAAAGGUGAGAACUCAGGCAUUAUGUAAACUGCUGGAACACCUGUUACAGUAAUUUUUCAUUUUACUGAAAUCUGUAAAGUUUUUCCAAUCGCCUUUCGUUCUAUUCAGACACUUUGGGAUAUAUGGCAGGAGAAGGCUUUUGAAAUAGAGUGAAAUCUAACCUGGAAAUGUGGGGGAGCUUUUUUUAAAGCAGGUCUACAUACACACACUUCCUGCACAAACAACCUCCUUUUUACCCAUGUGGAAAGAGAUGUGUUCUCAAAAUUUGCAGCCAGCACAUCGUGUUUACAUGUGUUACGCUUCCAGGGCAUCAAACAGCUAUCAGCAGGGUAAGGCUGGAGAGGACAGAACCUUUCUUUCUGCUGCAGAACAUUCUGGUGGGGUGUAAGACAGUGAGGAAACAUGGGGACUGCUGAGGAGGUCUGUGCUGUACAGGUAGAACUCACCAUCCUCUGACCAGCAGCUGAAUGUUUAUGCAGAGGAUGAAAAGCACUGUUUAAGGCAGAUGGAGCCAAGCUAGGAUCUACCAGGAGUGUAUUGGGGUGUGUGUGUUCUGCUACUUCAUUAGCAGCACUCAGUGUUCCUUCAGUGCUCUGAUCCUUGAUGGCCUUUGAGCAUGAGACUGCUUCCAGUAAUUUGCCUCAUCUACUUCUUCCUUAUCAGAUGGCCUGUAGCAGACACCCACCAUAAUGUCACCCAGCAUGGGCUGCCCUCUGGUCCUGACCCAUAUGCUGCCAGCUGUCUUGUCACCUGUCCCAAGGCACAGACAGCUCCAGGUGUCCCAGUUGCUCUCUCACAUGAAGGGCAGCUCUACCUCCUUGAUGUCCUGGCCUGUCCUUCCUGAAGAGCUGGAUCCAUCCAUAGCAGCCUUCCAUGGCAGCUGACCACCCCCCUCCUGAUCCUACCAAGCUAGUGCAUCACGUGUCUGUGGUGCCAGCAAGCUCAUAGCCCAUCCCAGCACCUUUACUGCCUUCUGUUUGUCCCCUGUAGUCCCCCCAGACACUGGGGACCAUUAUGAACCACUGUGAGUCAGCAUUUAGACUUUGCACCCUGUUCCCACAGCAGGCAGGUGCAGGGGAGGUCAACUAGCCCCAGAAGGAUUUCUUUACUCGCACAGCAUUUUCCAGCUCCAAUGAACCACUCGACAUCGAGGGGCAGACAUCUCACCCGUGGCUCACACACCUGCCCCAGCACCCUGGUUACGCUGCCCUGCACUUGUGUGAGCCCAGCUGCCUGUUGGUGUGGCGUUUCACAGGUGUACCAAGUGCACAGAAUUCAGCAAAACUGUGACCUGAGCCCUCUGCACAGCGCUCAUUAGCAGCAGGCUCAGCCCUCAGCACUGCCUGCUGCAUAUUAACAACUUGUUUUCACCGUUGCAGGGCAUGGGAACUGCCUCUGUGUGCCGACAUCCUCAGCCUUUCCUCCCGUGGCUGCUCGGGGUGCUGGGGCAGCCCUCGGGGUUUUGGGAGGUCACAGGUGAUCACAUUUACGAGAGGAUAAAAAAGAAACUAUCACUUGUUGAGAAGACUUUUCACAGGAUUUGUGAUAACUCUCCAAAUUCUGAAGCCUGCUGAAAUUUUCCUUGACAGCCUAAACCAAAAUGUGCAGCUCCACCUGAGGCAUCUAAAGGGUUUCCCAAAGCUCCUUCCAAGGGAUAGCCGGGUACAGGGACAUCUCUAUGUCUCUUUAUAUGCUUCCAGAGGCACCCACAGCUACAGCUUGAGAGGUGGGCAACCUUCUACAUCCAAGCCUGUCUCCUUCCUUACCAAUCCUGCCUCCUGGCCACUGUGUCAGCCUUUGUGCCUUUGGAAGAAGAUGGACAGCAAAAAAAGGUUGUAUUCACCAGUGGUAUCAGACUUCAGAUGCUGUGUGGAUAAAUAAGUCCUGCCAUGAUGAUCCAGAAGAAUAGUUUCUUGGGAUAAGCUACCAGAUGCUUCAUUCACUACACAGUGAAACUUGAGGAAGACAUAAGCAAGACAGUUUCUCCCAGUAGCAGAGGAUCAGACUUCAUGAAUGAGGAAUUUCCAUGUUUCCAUGAAAGCUGACCACUCAUCCGUAAUUUAAUAACAUAUAAAACACAUAAACAUAUAAAACUCUUCCAUGUGAAUUUGCCAGUAAUAUGGGACUCACCUUUCUCAAAAGGGCAGGAAGAUCUUUGCUCAUGAGCCUGCAGGGCUCACUGACAGAGCUUUGCACUAAGGCAGGACAGGGGCAGUGGUUUUAAAGGAAAAGAGGGUUGAUUUAGAUCAGAUAUAUGGAAGAAGUCUUUUACAAUAAGGGGAGUAAAACACCAACACAGGUUGCCCAGAAUGGUGGUGGAUGCCCCAUCCCUGGAAACAUUCAAGGUCAGUUGGAUGGGGGGCUCUGAGCAACCUGAUCUAGGUGAAGAUUUCUCUGUUCAGCGCAGGGCGCUUGGUCCAGAAGACCUCUAAAGGUACCUUCCAACACCAAGUGUACUAUGAUUCUAUGAAAGUUUCCAGAUAUAUUCUUUACUCUCUUUUGUCUUUUAAAUAAUUUCCUUUCCUUUUCUUUUACUUUUCCUGCUAUAUUUCACUAUUCUCACUACUAUGCACUUGCUCACAGUAGCAGUUGCUCUGCAUUAGAGCUGAUUAAAAGCAUAAAGAAAUGUAUUGAAGAAAGAAGUUACUAUAGUCACUCCUGAAAUGUUUGCACAGCCAUUUCAUGCUUUCAGAAAGUUCAAAAUAGUGGGGAAAAACACAAAUGGAAAAGUUAGGAAGAACUGAAGAGAUUCUUCCUGACAGUCAGUAAAAACAUACAUUUCCAAAUAUUUCUGCAUUACAUUUUCAACUCCCAUUUUCCCCCCAAGUCUCAAAUGCCCACCUCUCAGACCAAGGUAGUUUCUCUUGUUUCGAUUCACUUUUCCACGGUGCAGACUGCUUGGCUUUUUAAGUCUGGAGAAUUCUUCUACCUACAAACAAAAAUCAAUGCAUAUCCUCCUUAGAGCAGAUAAGGGCCGCAACGGUCCUUCAUCAGUCUUCUGAUGAUGUGUAUUAUUUUAGGUGCCUGGUCUGUGAUUUUGAAUAGGGGAGAACAGAUGAGAUGUCUUUCUCUAGACACAUUCCUCAUCAGCCUUUUUGAACUCCCAAUGGAAAGUUGCUGUUUAUUCUCUCCUCACACCCACUCAGCCUCACUGCGCCUCAGCAGCUACCGUAAAAUUCUCCCCCUGAUGCUGAUGCAUAACUCACAUCUGCAUUAAUCAGAGCAUAUAUGGAGAAGCAGUGAGAGGGAAAAUAUACCCUCGUGAAUUUGGAAGCUCUGAGAGCAUCUAAGAAUAUGUGUUAUCCUUUCCUUGAGUGUACUAUUAAAAAUAAAAUAAAGCAUCUCAAACGCACAGGAUUCAGUUCAAGAUACACAGACAUCUGAACCAAGUAGGGUUCAAUUUUUCCUUGUUUCUCUGGUGUUGUUCAAGUCUUUCUAAAAACAAACAAACAAUAAACAACUGCAAGGCACUCUGGAGAAUAUUUCAGCCCAGCUGUGCUAAAGUAAAAUGUGAAAUGCUGCAUACAAUGACGCUGAAACUUUGCUCAAAUUGUCAUAAGUCUCACUUGUCACAUGCAUUUACAUUAGCUGCUGAACACCGAACUGACUCCACAACAUGUCUAAGCAAAUUACAAACCAAAUAAGGAGGAAAAAAAGAAAAUAAAAUUACUUUUCUUCCAUAAAUUGCUAUUAUAUACUACAGAGGUUACGAGAAAAAAGUGACAAAGAAACAACAGUAAAUAUUUUCUCGGUUUUGAGAAAAAACUAUGAGGAGGGGAAAAUAAAGAAAACAAACAAAAAAAGAUGCAUUAAAAAUAAAAACAUUGGGCUGAGAAAAUUAGACAAAUUGAGCCACUAUCACAGGGCAGAUGAGCUUAUCAUGUUUUAAAGAGAGAGUUAUAUUUUCAGUAGCAGAUAUACUAAUAUCUUUCUCACAGACAUUUAUUCAGUGAUUUGAGGCUCAGCAGAAAAGAAAUUCCUAACUUUCCACAGUCAAAGAUAUUCAGUAGCUUGUCCCUGGAUGUCCAGGGAAUAUGAGUACAAGUCUUAUCCUCUCUGUGCAUCUCAUAGUCAAUGUUAUUAUUUUAAGAAACAAUACUGUAGAAAUGCAAGUUCACAGCAUCCAGUUAUGUCAGUUAGUCUCUGAAAAUAAAAUACUAAAAAAAAAAAAAAAAAAAAAACAAACAGAGAGAGAAGAAGGAAAAAAAAGAAAAUUUGAACAGAAAUAUGAGAAAUAUGUUCUGGAAAACCACUGACAGUUUGGUUUAUUGAAGUUCAGAAAGGACAAAAGAUGAGAACGGGAAGAAAAAGGGAACUCAAUUCAUCACAUAAGGCAAAUGACCUACUGUAAUAAAGUUAUAUCUGUCAUCUCUUAGGUGCCUUCUUGAAUGUAAAUACAGGAGUUGUGCUCAUGAUGAUCUUCUUCACUGUUCCGAGGACACUGAUAGAUGAGGGAACUGACAAGGUCUCUCUAGGACUUCGACAUGUUUGAAGUAUUUCUCCUCUAUCUGUGAAUAAAUCAGAGGAAAAAUUUCAGUGGAAGGCAGGUGUGUCCUUCUCAAGUCCCUUUUGUGCUGCUCUCUGCAUGCAGGUGAUUUGUAGUCCCCUCACCAGCUUGAUGGAAACAUGAGACAACUCCAGAUAUGGGCUAAAACAAAUGCUUGCCAUGUGGAUAUUUUCAAUAGCAGGCAAUUUUUUUCCAUGUGGCUUAAAGUCUACAACAUCUUGAAGAAAAAAGAUCUUAAAGAAGAAUAACACAAAAGUCACCAUACUUAAAGGCAGAUUAUGUUUUCAAUAUUUUUGGAAGUUUUCAUGUAUUUAAUUUGCUAUACUGCUCUAAGUUCUUUUCAAAUAUUCCCUCUAGGAAUAGUUAAAGACUGUAAAUGUUCCUGAAUCACAGAAAAAUUACAGGAGACAUUAACACUAUGUCUGCACCUAGCAUUAGAAUGGUAAUUUGUAAGGAAUGAUUAAUAUCCAGAAAUGAAUGACAAAUAAAACUUACACCAACCUGAAGCCAGAUGUUUUAAAAAAGAUGAAGCAGUUACAAAAAGUAUGACUGCAAUUUAAAAAGGAGCAGCAGUCAAUGUCAGAGUGGAGGGAGAGGAGGAAA